rnacentral:rRNA from 1 species
ACGCUCGACACCUACGGGAGACAGCAGUGGGGAAUAUUGCACAAUGGGGGAAACCCUGAUGCAGCGACGCCGCGUGAGUGAAGAAGUAUUUCGGUAUGUAAAGCUCUAUCAGCAGGGAAGAAGAUGACGGUACCUGAGUAAGAAGCCCCGGCUAACUACGUGCCAGCAGCCGCGGUAAUCUGAGCGGGCUGGCAAGGC